CUUAGCAUCCAGCCCACCUCCCCACCAGAGAACACACCCCCAGCUGGUGUGGGGGAUAAGGUGGAUAAGGAUUUACAGGUGGACAAGGAUGAAGAUGCCAGACUCUUGGACUUAAAGACAGUCAUCUAGCAAUCACUGGGGAGUGUGUCUUCACAGCCAUGGCUGACUGGGUCUGAGCAAAAGGUGCCACAUGUGACUUCCUGAAGGUAAGGGAGACCUGCUCUUCCUUUCUUCUCCUGACUGGGCUACAGCGUGACCGUAGGUGCCUGAGCAGCCAGCCUGGGCCGUGAGGCAGAGAGCCACAUAUGAGGAUUGGGGAGCCGCAAAGUAGAAAAAUCAAAUCUUCAGUCAUCUGGAAACCGCCCGAGACUCCUGAGCCUCCACACCUCUAUCACAUGCACGAGAAAUAAAAUUUUGUCUUG